AGUUAAAAUUUUCAUUCAUUUGUAUUAUUAAAAACUAACGUAGCUGAUGGAAUAAUCACAUAGUAAUAUGUGGUGUGCUACGUGCAUCUCAUAAUGACAUAUAAUGAAUAAAUUUUAACAAUAUAAAUGGAUGGAAUUUUUAACA
rfam:Gossypium arboreum cultivar AKA8401 contig_15826_1, whole genome shotgun sequence.